CAGAAUCUCUGUGUUCAUGUGUAGCAAAAUUAGUGGGUCAAAAGUUGCUUGAUUCACCCACAUGUGUAGUGAGAAGUAUCUCCAUACCAUACACCCCCAACACAUACAGGUGGAUAAACGAGGUUGGUCGAACCGGUACUUUUGAAUGUUGAGACUGACUUAAUGUUUUUAGUAUGAUUAAGAAAGUUAUAAUCUUAUUUUUUUAGUAUGAUUAAGAAAGUCAUAAUCUUAUUUUUUAAAAAAUAAAAACAGUUAAACAAGUGUAGAGAAUUUACUAAUAAAGCAUAAUCUAGAUCAAACCAUUUACUAAACGGGUCAACCCAAUUAUGCUAAUCACAUUCUGAAUUAUGGAAAUCUACCACAAAAACAAGACUAUUGCAUUAAUAAUUUAAAUCUUUGACUUAAAAGUUUAGAAAUUGAGGAUGGGUUGUAUGCAUUGAAAGCAAACUAUUUCAACCUGUUUGACCCGUUUAAAAAAGACAACCCAAAUUAACCCAUUCAUAAGUAAACAGGUUCUCAACUACUGUUUCUAAACAAAAUAAUAUUAACAAUUUUCGUUAAUAUAUUCUUUAAUUUCAUGCUAGCCGUGGAUUUGGUUAUGAUGUUUGAUGACUUGCUGUACGGUUUGGAGAUUAGGUUUUUGUAAUUUCAUCAAUAAUUGAGGUUUCUUAGUAUAUUUGUUGAUAUUUAACGAGUUUUACGUUGCGGAUUUUGUUAAUAUGUCUGUUAAUUUCAUGUUAGUUGUGGAUUUAUUUCUGAUAUUUGAUUAUAUACUGUACAGUUUGGAGAUUAGGAUUUCGUAAUUCCAUCUAUAAUGUGGAAUUCUCCGUUAAUGUGGGGCAAUAAGUAUGUGUGCAGAAAAAUAACUGCAGUUAUUGGGGGGGGGGGGGUAUGUUAAAAAAAACUGUCGUAUAGGGGUUUUAUUGCUUAAAAAGAUGAGAAACAUGUUUUUUAAAAUAAGAACGUUAUAGGUUAACCGGACUGUUUUUUUUUUCAUUCAGUUUAAAAAUUGGUUUUUAGUCAGUGACCCAGAACCGGGUAUCAAACCGGCGGGGCAGGUUUCGAACCGAACCGGUUACAAAAAAACCAGUUUUUAAAUUAACUGGUUUAGUUUUUUUUGCGAUUUCGGUUUUAUAACCGGUUUUUUUGUACACCUCUAUUUGAAACUGGAAGCAAAAUCCCGGGGAUGGAGUCGAAGGAACGGAUUGUGGUCUGCUUUUUGGUAUUCCGGGAUCUCAUUUAGUUUCUAAUUCAUGAGAUCAGUGGGCUUGGCUUCUUGAUGAUUCGGCGAAGCAUCGGAGAUGGCUGAGCUUAUUUUUGUGGUGUGGAUUUUCGCAAGCGGUUUGGGUGGUAGUGGCACAAUGGUGUAACCUCCCUCCCAUUUUCGCCUUCAACAUCAAUGACCUGUUGGACUUGAAUGUUUACGCCAAUGGGUCGUUUAAAUACAAGAAGGGGUUGCAUGUUGCGUGUUUAACGACUUUUUGGUGUCUGUGGAAAGCUCGGAACGUUGUGUUUGUACAAGUCCCGUGCUCGGUUCAGAAAACAGUAGAAGACAUCAAUGCUCUGAGUUUUAUGUGGCUCUGGCACAUGUCUAAGCAGCCAAACAUCAGCUGGGAGAUUUGGAAUGGAUUUAAACUGCACAAACCGGGAUCAUAGUUUUGUAGUUUUUAUUAAUAUGUGGCUCUGUUUGUUUGUUAAUUUGGUGGACUAUUAGUGUCAUGGUGGAUUGCAAAUCUGGUUAUGAGACUAGGCUUUUCUUGUAUCAUGUUAUUUAACCUCUUUUGAAGAACAAUACAUUCCUAAUUUUCUUAA